UUUCCUUAACCUAUGUUUUGAACCCUAAAUACACCUCCAAACAAAAUCAGCCGCAUACACCUGGUCUCUUCUGCUAGUGAUAGAUAUCUCUUCGGUUGUUCUACUCAAUUCCUUCGUUAUCUAAAUUUCUAGGGUUUCCAGAUGACAAGAUCUGGUUAGCCUCACAGAAGAUAGUUCGAUUUCUGCCAGAUUCAAAACCUAUCUAAUGUUCGUCACUUUGUAUUGAUAGGGUUUGGAUCGAAUUGUUGAAUUGUUUGUCUGUCAAAUAAUCUUAAUCGAAAUUAUUUGAUAGAUUGAAGAACAGGCGAGGUCGUGGUGGUGGCCGUGGAUACGGGCGAGGUCGUGGUAGUGGCGGGUUCAAUUGAUGCUCAAGCAACAACGAACAAUCAUUUGGUAAUAGAGGGUUAUUUGGUGUUCAAGGUGUCAUUGAGGCGUCUGAUAUUUGGGAAAGGUUAUGACAGACACGAUGGCGAUGGUUCUCGUGGUGGUCGUCAUGGCGGAUUUGCUAAUGAAGAUGUGGAGGAUGCAGAUCAUCCUCGCCGUUCAUAUGAACGCCGCAGCGGGACAGGCUAUGGCAGUCAACCUUUUAAAGGGGAUCAAUUUGGAAAGCCGUAACCUUGACCAAGAUGUGAAUUCAUGUGGUAAUAAUGAGAGAGCAACUGAUAAGAGAAACCAAGUUUUAGGAGUUCUUUUUCACGACUCCAUCGCCAUGCCAUGAUAAGGGUAGAGCUUUGAGCUUCCCUGCUGCCAAGGGAUAUAGAAGAUAGAACUUACACGAGUAAAAACUUAUGUUUGUUUGACAGGGUGUCAAUCACGGGUAAAGAACCAGAAGAGUGCAUGUCCUCUAAACGUACAUAAAAAAGUAAACUGAACUUGUUUGUGCCAUUAUAGCAGCUGGUUACGUACAUAAAAAGUAAAAUGAACUUGUGUUUAUCAUUUCUUUGCCAUUAAUUUGAAUUUGAUAAUUCUACUAGUAAUUUAAUCAUGUAUAAUGAUGUAUUAAUUACCAUAUUUUCUUAUACAGGGGCUCGAGGACCCAAAUAGGAGUAGAUAAAAGCUUCUUUUGAGUUCUUCUCUAAUUAUAACUUUGGCACCCCUAUCUCUCGAUUAAAUACAUGUUUAUUAAGAGUUGCAGUGAUGUUUUGCGGUUCACUCACUUUUUUUUCUUAUACAGGGGCUCGAGUACCCAAAUAGGAGCCGAUACAAACUUAUAUCACAUUAUGUUCUCUCUAUAACACCAACCCUUGCAUGCUCACUCACUUUUUUUUUCUUUUUUUCUUAAUAGCCGAGGGUGUAGUGAACGGUCUUGUGUUCACGAUAGCAAGACUUUUUAAUUGGAUUGGCUCAAGGAUGGAUUUCAAUCCAGGAAUCGAUGGUCCCAGUGAGGAUGUUUCAAGGGUUCUGGCAGCAAUGAUACACUUACUAUAGCAAUACUUCCCAACAGCUCAUGGAUACAAAUUAUGGUCCUAAAGCAGAGAGUAUACACUUGAAGAAAACCACCUAGAAAUAGUUCUUUGUUUGAGUAGUCAUUUUCAUUUGCAACUUUUGUAGAUAGGUUUCGGUUAGAAAUGUGUGUCUUUAGUAUUUCAAUUGAAAACUUACAUAUGGAUUUUUGGUUAAUAUCAUUUGAUUUUAGAUUUUCUAGA